UCUGGUGAUUAUUCCGGAGGGGUUCCACCCGUUCCCAUCUCGAACACGGAAGUUAAGACCUCCAGGGCUGAUGAUACUUGGACCGCAGACGUAACAGUCCGGUGGACUGUUACGCGGC
rnacentral:rRNA from 1 species